ACGGGAGGCAGCAGUGGGGAAUAUUGCACAAUGGGCGAAAGCCUGAUGCAGCGACGCCGCGUGAGCGAAGAAGUAUUUCGGUAUGUAAAGCUCUAUCAGCAGGGAAGAUAAUGACGGUACCUGACUAAGAAGCACCGGCUAAAUACGUGCCAGCAGCCGCGGUAAUACGUAUGGUGCAAGCGUUAUCCGGAUUUACUGGGUGUAAAGGGAGUGUAGGCGGUCUUGCAAGUCUGAUGUGAAAACCCGGGGCUCAACUUCGGGAUUGCAUUGGAAACUGUAAGACUAGAGUGUCGGAGGGGUAAGUGGAAUUCCUAGUGUAGCGGUGAAAUGCGUAGAUAUUAGGAGGAACACCAGUGGCGAAGGCGGCUUACUGGACGAUUACUGACGCUGAGGCUCGAAAGCGUGGGGAGCAAACAGGAUUAGAUACCCUGGUA
rnacentral:rRNA from 1 species